GCCCUAGCGGCGGAGGAAGCGAGAGAAAGGCCUGAGAUCGGAACUAGAGCCAGCAAAGGCGGAAACGCGCGGUGGAGAGCCGCUCUCCAGCGAGAUUUCGGGGGAGAUCCGCACUAAAGCAGCCACUUUCUGGAUUUCUGUUCUUUUUUACAGUUUUUCAUCUGGAUCCGCCUAGGGAUCUUCCUAACCCACCUGCUCAUGGGCCCGCUAGCCUGAAGUACACUGUAUAACAGGAACAGCAAGAGAGACCCUGCUCUGGGCAGGUGGAUGGAGAGAACCAACCCUAGACAGUUGUCCUCUGACCUCCACGUGCAUACAGUGGAAUAUUUGUCUGCACUCAUGCACAGAAACAAGAAAGAACCCAGUCUCACAGGUGGUGUAAUUAACAUGCUGUCCUGAUUGGUUUUGAGUGUCAACUUGACAUCAGAGAGGAAGGAGCCUCAAAGAGGAAAUGUCUCCAUGAGACCCAGCUGUAAGGCAUUUUCUCAAUUAGUGAUCAAUCAGAGAGAGCCCAGCCUAUGGUGGAUGGUACCAGCCCUGGGCUGGUGGUCCUGGGUUCUGUAAGAAAGAAGGCUGAACAAGCCAGGGGAAGCAAGCCAGAAAUCAACACUCCUACAUGUCCUCUUCAUCCGCUCCUGCCUCCAGGUUCCUGCUCGAGUUCCUGUUCUGACUUCCUUCAGUGAUGAACAGCAACAUGGAAGUGGAAGUUGAAUAAAUCCUUCCCUCCCCAGCUUGUUUUAUUUUUGUCAUGGUGUUUUGUUGUAGCAAUAGAAGCCUUAACUAAAACACA